AUUGAACGCUGGCGGCAGGCCUAACACAUGCAAGUCGAGCGGAUGAAGGGAGCUUGCUCCUGGAUUCAGCGGCGGACGGGUGAGUAAUGCCUAGGAAUCUGCCUGGUAGUGGGGGAUAACGUCCGGAAACGGGCGCUAAUACCGCAUACGUCCUGAGGGAGAAAGUGGGGGAUCUUCGGACCUCACGCUAUCAGAUGAGCCUAGGUCGGAUUAGCUAGUUGGUGGGGUAAAGGCCUACCAAGGCGACGAUCCGUAACUGGUCUGAGAGGAUGAUCAGUCACACUGGAACUGAGACACGGUCCAGACUCCUACGGGAGGCAGCAGUGGGGAAUAUUGGAAAAUGGGCGAAAGCCUGAUCCAGCCAUGCCGCGUGUGUGAAGAAGGUCUUCGGAUUGUAAAGCACUUUAAGUUGGGAGGAAGGGCAGUAAGUUAAUACCUUGCUGUUUUGACGUUACCAACAGAAUAAGCACCGGCUAACUUCGU
rnacentral:rRNA from 1 species